rnacentral:lncRNA from 1 species
GUGCAUUCCCUCCACUCCUCCACUCGGCUCACAAAGCGAGGAAGACAGGCCAGCCCCCCGCCCACGAUUGAGGAACAGCGUGUUUACCUGUACAGCUGGCAAGCAAGCUUUGGGUAGAAGCCUUAACAUCAGACCACAUGGCCGUGCCCAAGUCCUUGUCAAACCAUCACUACCACCAACUUUUAACAACAUCCCCUAAGAGCAGGAAAAAAAGAUCCUGGGUACCAGGGCUGAGAAAGCCAAUGUUCAAAGGAAUGGCUACCAUCACAUUUCCCAGGAGAGCCGGCACAAACCCUGCGCUUCCCUUCCCAUUGUCUUUCCACCAUCCCCUCCCCUCCCGGUACCCACAUCUGUCCAGUUUAUUCAAAAUGACUGCUGGUCUCUGUGAAGAGUAUUUAGAUGACCAGAGGCUGGACAGAGUCCAGCAGGAAGAAGCCUCAAACAUGACUGAACAAAAGGGCCUGAAAUAUCUUCCGAAGUUGCUGGCACUCUAUAGAGACUUGCACCAUCUUCUGAAAGACGCGGACAGCUGGAAACUUGCUGCAGCACCGAAGGUUGGCCCCUCGUGCGCUUGUGCACGCAAACACUCUCCCCCUCCAGAGCACAUGACUGCUAUCUCUGCAUCUCUCACAUUCACAGGCGUAGCACUCAGCCUCGCCCAUGUCCCGAGGGACAGCUGCUCUGAGACCCACCCUGAAGCUAGGCGGCAGGAUGAGCAACGUUUUCCACUGUGAGCAGGAGGCAGGCCAAACUGCGUGUGAGCAGUCACCAGAGAGCUGGUUCCAGUAGCUCAACCUCUCAACUGAGCCAAAAAC